CCUACGGGAGGCAGCAGUGGGGAAUAUUGGACAAUGGGGGCAACCCUGAUCCAGCCAUGCCGCGUGUGUGAAGAAGGCCCUCGGGUUGUAAAGCACUUUCAGUGAGGAAGAACGCCUGGUGGUUAAUACCCAUCAGGAAAGACAUCACUCACAGAAGAAGCACCGGCUAACUCCGUGCCAGCAGCCGCGGUAAUACGGAGGGUGCGAGCGUUAAUCGGAAUUACUGGGCGUAAAGCGCGCGUAGGUGGCUUGAUAAGCCGGUUGUGAAAGCCCGGGGCUCAACCUGGGAACGGCAUCCGGAACUGUCAAGCUAGAGUGCAGGAGAGGAAGGUAGAAUUCCCGGUGUAGCGGUGAAAUGCGUAGAGAUCGGGAGGAAUACCAGUGGCGAAGGCGGCCUUCUGGACUGACACUGACACUGAGGUGCGAAAGCGUGGGUAGCAAACAGGAUUAGAUACCCCGGUAGUC
rnacentral:rRNA from 1 species